rnacentral:rRNA from 1 species
AUUGAACGCUGGCGGCAUGCCUUACACAUGCAAGUCGAACGGCAGCACGGGGGCAACCCUGGUGGCGAGUGGCGAACGGGUGAGUAAUACAUCGGAAUGUACCCAGUAGUGGGGGAUAACUAGUCGAAAGAUUAGCUAAUACCGCAUACGCACUAUGGUGGAAAGCGGGGGAUCGCAAGACCUCGCGCUAUUGGAGCAGCCGAUGUCCGAUUAGGUAGUUGGUGGGGUAAAGGCCUACCAAGCCUGCGAUCGGUAACUGGUCUGAGAGGACGACCAGUCACACUGGGACUGAGGCACGGCCCAGACUCCUACGGGAGGCAGCAGUGGGGAAUUUUGGACAAUGGGGGAAACCCUGAUCCAGCAAUGCCGCGUGUGUGACGAAGGCCUUCGGGUUGUAAAGCACUUUUGGCGGGAACGAAACGGCGCUUUCUAAUACAGAGCGCUAAUGACGGUACCCGCAGAAUAAGCACCGGCUAACUACGUG